ACAACUUUGGUAAUUUUAUAAUUAAUAAAACCUGCUCGGUGAAAAUUUUUAACAGCCUCAGUAUUAUGACUGGGCAAAGGUAGCAUAAUUACUUGUUUUUUGAAUAGAAACUUGUUUGAAGGGUUAAACCUAUUUCUUUAAUGAAGAAGAUUUUGAAUUUUCUUUAAAGUUAAAAAGCUUUAGGAAAAAAAAAGAAGAGAAGACCCUUAAAGCUUUGAAAAUUUAAAUGGGGUAUUUGUACAUUAUUUUUUUAGAUUAUAUAGAGGAAUAAGCUACUUGAGGGAUAACAGGAUAAUAUUAAAUAAAGGCCAUAUUUACUUUAAUGUUUUUUACCUCGAUGUUGAAUUAAUUUUUCCUUUUUGUGCAACAGCAUGGAGGGUUAGCCUGUUCGGCGCUUAAAUCCUUACAUGAUUUGAGUUUAAACCGGGGUUGAGUUUAAACCGGCG
rnacentral:rRNA from 1 species